GGCAGCGCCGGGACGGGGCGGGGCGGGAGGGGGAGGACGCACGGGCCGGCGGACGGACAGACGGGUUAGACAGACGGAGGGACGGACGGACGGACGGAGGGACAGAGGGCCGGGCUGCCUGCCGCCAUGGAUCACUACGACCCGCAGCAGACCAACGACUACAUGCAGCCGGAGGAGGACUGGGACCGCGACCUGCUCCUCGACCCGGCCUGGGAGAAGCAGCAGCGGAAGACAUUUACAGCAUGGUGUAAUUCUCACCUCCGCAAGGCUGGGACACAGAUUGAGAACAUAGAGGAAGAUUUCAGGGAUGGUCUUAAACUCAUGUUACUUCUGGAAGUCAUUUCAGGUGAACGUUUGGCUAAGCCUGAGAGAGGCAAAAUGCGAGUACACAAAAUUUCCAACGUGAACAAGGCCUUGGAUUUCAUUGCCAGCAAAGGAGUCAAACUAGUAUCUAUUGGAGCAGAAGAAAUUGUGGAUGGCAACGUUAAAAUGACUCUUGGAAUGAUCUGGACCAUCAUCCUUCGUUUUGCCAUUCAGGAUAUCUCAGUUGAAGAGACAUCUGCUAAAGAAGGACUUUUGUUAUGGUGUCAGAGGAAGACAGCCCCCUACAAAAAUGUUAACAUCCAAAACUUCCAUAUCAGUUGGAAGGAUGGCCUUGGUUUCUGCGCUUUAAUUCACAGACACCGUCCAGAGCUCAUCGACUAUGGAAAGCUACGAAAGGAUGAUCCUCUCACUAACCUAAACACAGCCUUUGAUGUGGCUGAGAAAUACCUGGAUAUCCCCAAGAUGCUGGAUGCCGAAGACAUUGUUGGAACUGCCCGUCCUGACGAGAAAGCCAUCAUGACCUAUGUUUCUAGCUUCUACCACGCCUUCUCAGGAGCCCAGAAGGCGGAGACAGCAGCAAAUCGUAUCUGCAAGGUGCUGGCAGUCAACCAAGAGAAUGAACAGCUCAUGGAAGACUACGAAAAACUGGCCAGUGAUCUGCUGGAGUGGAUCCGUCGCACCAUCCCCUGGCUGGAGAACCGGGCACCAGAGAACACCAUGCAAGCCAUGCAGCAGAAACUGGAGGACUUCCGGGACUACCGCCGCUUGCACAAGCCCCCCAAAGUCCAAGAGAAGUGCCAACUUGAGAUCAAUUUCAACACCUUGCAGACCAAGCUACGGCUCAGCAACAGGCCAGCCUUCAUGCCUUCAGAAGGGAAAAUGGUCUCGGAUAUAAACAAUGCCUGGGGUGGCCUAGAGCAGGCUGAGAAGGGCUAUGAGGAGUGGUUGUUGAAUGAGAUCCGGAGGCUAGAGAGGCUGGAUCACCUGGCAGAGAAGUUCCGGCAGAAGGCAUCUAUUCACGAGUCCUGGACAGAUGGUAAGGAAGCAAUGCUGCAGCAGAAGGAUUAUGAAACCGCUACCCUCUCGGAGAUCAAGGCCCUGCUGAAGAAACACGAGGCCUUUGAGAGCGACCUGGCUGCGCACCAGGACCGCGUGGAACAGAUUGCUGCUAUUGCACAAGAGCUCAAUGAGCUGGACUAUUACGAUUCUCCAAGUGUCAAUGCCAGGUGCCAGAAGAUCUGCGAUCAGUGGGAUAAUCUGGGUGCCUUAACCCAGAAACGUAGAGAAGCUUUGGAGAGGACAGAGAAGCUACUGGAAACAAUUGACCAGUUGUACCUGGAAUAUGCCAAACGAGCUGCCCCUUUCAAUAACUGGAUGGAAGGGGCCAUGGAGGACCUGCAGGACACGUUCAUCGUUCACACCAUUGAGGAGAUCCAGGGAUUGACCACAGCCCACGAACAGUUCAAAGCCACUUUGCCAGAUGCCGACAAAGAGCGACAGGCCAUCCUGGGAAUCCACAAUGAAGUCUCAAAGAUUGUCCAGACAUACCACGUCAACAUGGCAGGAACGAAUCCGUACACUACAAUCACCCCACAGGAGAUCAAUGGCAAAUGGGAACAUGUGAGGCAGCUGGUUCCUAGAAGGGAUCAAGCGCUGAUGGAAGAACACGCUCGCCAGCAGCAAAAUGAACGGCUUCGUAAGCAGUUUGGUGCACAGGCCAAUGUCAUUGGACCCUGGAUCCAGACCAAGAUGGAGGAGAUUGGCCGCAUUUCAAUAGAGAUGCAUGGGACCCUGGAGGACCAGCUCAACCACUUGCGGCAGUAUGAGAAGAGCAUUGUGAAUUACAAACCAAAGAUUGACCAGUUGGAAGGAGACCACCAACAGAUCCAGGAGGCGCUUAUCUUUGACAACAAGCACACCAACUACACCAUGGAGCAUAUCCGAGUGGGCUGGGAGCAGCUAUUAACAACAAUUGCUAGAACCAUCAAUGAAGUGGAAAACCAGAUUCUGACCCGUGAUGCCAAAGGAAUCAGCCAGGAACAGAUGAACGAGUUCCGGGCUUCUUUCAACCAUUUCGACAGGGUAAGUAAGUGCUGACUGCAGCUUGGUAAGUUACAAGCUCCCAUGUAGACUGCACAGUACAAUAACAAACAGUCACUGUAGUAAAAUUAGAUUAAUAGAAGAGGCUUAAUUCUUAAAAAUGCCACUACUGUGGAGCAGGGAGAUUGCCGAGAGAUCAUUAGCCUGGGAGGAGAAGUAUAUCUGAAACAGAAAGUUUCUUGAUAAAGCUAAAGUGUGAAAAAGUUUGAAGGCUUAUUUAGAAAAUUACAUUUUUACCCCAGCUUCACUGUCUUAGUUUAUAAUCCGUAGUUUAUAAAUCCUUUGGAGCAGCCGUCCUGUGCUCUGAUAUACCAUCACAUAAACCAGUACUGAAGAAACCAGCAUUGCUCUUGUAUGGAGCAAACAAGAGGAUCUAUGCGCAGAAUGACAUUACAUAAUGCAGCUCUUCCUUCUCCAUGGAGAAGCCAUCAGCUGGCAUCCCUCUACCAAACAAAUCAGAAAGCUGUCAACGCAGGGAGGCAGAGACAGCAGCCCAAGCCUGACACCAUCUCAUGACUGGUUCUGUAGGCUCAGUUAUCAGCCCCCUCACUGUUGUCUGGAAAUCCAUGCGCCUGCAGAGAUACUAAGUCAGUGAUGCAAAUGUAGGUGCUCUCCACCAUUUGCUGCACCAGUCAGACUGUUUGAGAGGUCUCCAGAGAACAGGGCUGCAGCCUGCCCUCUCAGAGGCUGGCAACAUUUUCAGAUUGCUGAGCACUAGCCAUUUCAGCCCCUCUCUAGCUGCCAAAGGAAAACCAAAGCCAUAGCUUCUUUCCUUAGCAGAAGGACCCAGAAAGCACUGUAAGUUUUAUAUUUUGACUUUCAUAUCAUUUGCCCCUUCCUCCCCAACAGUCUGAUAAUGCAGAGAAAAAAUGUCUUUCCCAAUCUUCAGCUGUGUAUUUGAGUUACGAAGGCUUCAGGCUAGCUUUAAGAAGCUGAUUGUUUGAGGAAAGUCACAUGGAAUUUGCCCCACACUCCUGUCUGUAGCUUUCUUUCUCUGGCCAGAGAUGGUGGCUGCAGGCAGGGGUUCUUCAGUGCCUGGGGCUGUCCUGAGCUAAAAUUCUGUGGGGCGAAUGGGGAUUCUCAGUUCCUGUCAUAGUUUGUGAUCAUGGGUACAUCCAAACACUGGGGGAGUGGGGAAUGAGAAAAGGGAAGAGCAGCUGCCAAGCCACGUUGUGCCAUGCUGUACAGCAGUGCUGUUUUCAGAGCUGAGCACUUCAAACAGCCUUGCCAGUCAAAGCUCCACCUUAUGUGCAGGUCUCAUAAAUACAGCAAUAACACUGCUCCCUUGAGCUUCAGCUGUUUUUCUUUGUCUGUUCCUGGGAUGCCCUGACAGCUCAGCUUCCUUGGGUGUGUUGCCAAACAUACCUGCCCUCACCUACUCCUUUGGUGGGACUUUUGACUAGAAAAAUAAGGCAAUGCUUCCCACUGCCUCUGCCUGCUUACCUGCACUCCAGGUUACUAGCGAAACACAGGGCUUCUGGCACUAUGGAUAACAAGCAGUGAUGCGAGUAAUUCACUUGGGAGAUGGAGAUCUUGAGGCUUCUGAGCAUUGACUGUUUUUGUCAUUGAAAUGCUCUCAAGAUGUGACGAGCUUUCUCAGAAGGAACUGUUCCAAGAGCAUUUUUAGCACAUCCUGAAAUGUCAUUGUGAUAUCUAAUGUUGUGCACUUUUUAUUUUUCUUCCCUGUCUUUCUAUCUGCAUGUCAUUCUUCCUCUCCCUCCUUUCACCCACUGCAUGGUGCACCUAUUUGUUGUCUUUCUGCCUCCCUUUGAUCUCCUCUGUGUCUCCCUUCCUUCUGCCCACACCGUCACCCCACUGGCACUGCAUGUCCUGCUGCCUGGCACACCGCAUAACCAGGACCACUCCGGCACACUUGGCCCUGAGGAAUUCAAAGCCUGUCUCAUCAGCUUGGGUUACGAUAUUGGAAACGAUGCACAG